UAUCUCUGUAGAGUCUGCAUAUCAAUAAGCGGAGGAAAAGAAACUAACAAGGAUUCCCCUAGUAACGGCGAGUGAAGCGGGAAGAGCUCAAAUUUGAAAUCUUCAAGGUUCUACCUUGACGAAUUGUAGUUUAAAGAAGUGUUUUCUGUUAGAUUGAGUAGCAAAAGUUCCUUGGAAUGGGACAUCAUAGAGGGUGAGAAUCCCGUAUUUGGUUAUUCAUUCUAGCUUUGUGAUACACUUUCAAAGAGUCGGAUUGUUUGGGAAUGCAGUCCAAAAUGGGUGGUAAAUUUCAUCUAAAGCUAAAUAUUGGCGAGAGACCGAUAGCGAACAAGUACCGUGAGGGAAAGAUGAAAAGAACUUUGAAAAGAGAGUUAAACAGUACGUGAAAUUGUCAAAAGGGAAGCGUUUGACACCAGUGUUGUUUUUCCGAAAAUCAAUUACGAAUGGCUUGAUUUUGUGUUGUAUUGACCUUAUCAGCUUUCUUCACUUCUUUCGAGUCUUUCUUAAUGCACUUUUCGGUUAACAAGUCAACAUCAAUUUCUUUUGUUGUAAAAGAGUAUUCGGAAGGUGGCUUUCUUUUCGGAGAAAGUGUUUAUAGCCCUAUACUUCUACAAUCGGAGAGAUUGAGGUCUGCAGCGUAGAUCCUUCGGGGUUAGAUACACUUGUGCUAAGUUGUAGCUUUUCAUAGACAACUUGUUGACUAUGUUUAGUCAUGCGGCUUACUCGCUUGUGCUAUUUUACCUACGCUUAGGAUGUUGACUGAUAUGUAGUCGUA
rnacentral:rRNA from 1 species